AAGGUAGUGUAGUUAACACCUGCACUAUUUGACGUUACCUACAGAAGAAGCACCGGCUAACUCCGUGCCAGCAGCCGCGGUAAUACGGAGGGUGCGAGCGUUAAUCGGAAUUACUGGGCGUAAAAGCGCAUGCAGGCGGCCUGUUAAGUCAGAUGUGAAAAAGCCCGGGCUUAAACCUCGGAAAUUGCAUUUGAAAAACUGGCAGGCUAGAGUCUUGUAGAGGGGGUAGAAUUUCAGGUGUAGCGGUGAAAAUGCGUAGAGAUCUGAAGGAAUACCAGUGGCGAAGGCGGCCCCUGGACAAAGACUGACGCUCAGAUGCGAAAGCGUGGGGAGCAAACAGGAUUAGAUACCCUGGUAG
rnacentral:rRNA from 1 species